CGAAACCAUCCUUUUAAAAGGUAAAGCCAAAUUAUCUAAGGGGACAAAUUUUCCAAAUAAACCAAAUAGUUGUAAUGGAUGAAAUCUGAGAAGAGGCUACGGCACUGCCGCGACGAUUGCAUCCACAAGCCUCUACUAAUAGUGUGCACUCCACUUGACAAACUGGCGACCCUUCGGCUGCCUCCACGGGAACGGCACAAUUCGAGGUUGAUUAUUGAGUCAUAGAUUUUGCUUAAACUUCACCUGACUAACAUCGAUUUGCCAAGAAGUUCUCUGUCAAAUAUAAGGAAUGCUAACUGCAAACCUAUCGACAAGAAUCGGACAUGAGGUCUGCACUCAACCCGAACGAAGCACUCGACUUGGUUACUGCUGCAGAUAAAAUUAGAAGUCGUCCCUAAAGACCAACAGGCUCAAUCAUGAGACAAUUAGGACAAUGGCGAUAGAACUGAUGCCUUGCUACAUCCCACCAGAACCUAAUGGAGGAAAUGACCUGCAAGUGUCUUUUUGCAACUCGUCGAGCAAUAUGCAUUGCAUCCAUACCUUCCAGACAAUGUUGCCAAAUCAACAAGACCAGCAAGAUGCAAACUUCGUUGAUAAUGCUGAAUCAAUCCAAGGCCAGCUCUGUCUGUUCAUACACAUCGCCCCCAAAGCCAUCCGUCCCAGACAAGGGUCGAUCAGAUGAAGACGAUCGACAACGGCUAAACAAGGAGCAGAGUGGGCAGGUGAGCAGGAGUCGGCACAAGAGCACCCAACCAACGACGACACGCAGCCGCAUGGGAUGUAGCUGCGGAGGUUGCCACAGGAGCACUCCGUAUGCACACCACCUCACUACCAAGACACAGGAGAACGUUGCCAGCCUCCACACUAUGGCCGUUGCAAGCAGCAGCCGGUGGAGAAAGCUGGAAACCAGUAGAAGAGGGAGGGUUAUAGAAGCUCCAGAUCUAACAAAUCAGAGAACCAACACCAGCCAAGUUGAACACCACCGAGUGGAUUCGCUUCAGGGUCACCGAGGCAUUAGGACACCGCCACCAUCCAAAACCGCCGCCUGCAACUCCACCACUCACCACCAUGGGAGAAGCUCACAUUCCGGCAAGAACUGGGAAAACGGGAUAAACCUACACAACAGGAGGACCUGACUAUACUAUACUGUAGGGAAGGAGGACUCUGGGGAAGAGGGGUCAGGGGAGGAGGGUUUACUGUAGCUUCAUGUUCCCCUCGCGGUCGCUCUCUAAGCAGCCUCUGUCCCAAGUUAGGGCUGUCAAAAAAGCUCGGAGCUCACGAGCAGCUCAAGCUCGGCUCGUCGCAAGCUCGGCUCGAGUUCGACUCGAUAAGGAUUCGAGCCGAGCUUGAGCUUGUCGCAAAGCUUGCGAGCUCUACCGAGCCGAGCUCGAGCUAUUCGGUAGAAGCUUGAAAUUUCACUCCCGCUACCCAUCCCAAUUUUUCCCGCACUCUAAUUCCAAAAUCCCACCAGCAGGCUGCACUCCUGCAGUCCAUCACCUAACCAUUUAUUUCCCUUAUCCCCAACUCCCCCAUCCCGUACCCAAACCUUAGCUCAUUUGCUCUCUUCCUCCAAACAUUUCUCUCCUAGAUCUACACUUCUAGGCUGCUCCAGUGCUCCAUUGCUGUGGAUCUAGCCAAGCACCGGCCAGCCUACACCUCUCCUGUCCAGGAAGCUAGAACCUCAUGGAGGACAGCAGCAGCCCACCGCCUCCUCCGUGAGUGACGAACUGACGAGCCAGAUCUGAGUGGAGACCUGAAGUAUUGGAGUGGUAGUUAUCUUGCUGUGCUCCUCUUCUGAAGAAAGACUGAAGAUGUCUGCAAACCAGCAAUCAACACAGCUAUCUAUAGAGAUCGAGUCACCGAGCAAUAGGGAUUGCAUAGCAGCAAAAGAAGCACAACCGAAUCCUGUUAACUAUGGCUUUUUAACAAGUUAUUAUUGGGAGAUAAGUUCAGAUUGCUGAAAGAAACAAUCUUAACGAGCUUCUAUGAACCGAGCUCGAGUCGAGCCGAGCCUUGGUCGAGCUCGAACCGAGCCUGCCUUUAAGCUUGAAGGUCAUGUCGGGCUCGGCUCGAGCCUGUACCAAGCUCGAGCUUAGGUAGAUAAGCUCGCUCGAGCUCGGCUCGUUGACAGCCCUAUCCCAAGUACUGCCUCCCGCUAUGGCCAUACAAUGUUGAUGGCACAACAACGCAAUCAAUAGACAAUAAACUACGAGGGCCCAACUGUAUACGUCUAUCCAUAUCUGCUACCGUUGCACAUGUACAUAUUGUAAAAUCAAAGGUGUUUUUGAUUAUUAUUCUGUGAUGAACAAUUGGGCAUUGGAGAUUAUUGGUUUUGUUAUUUGGAAUUUAAUCACGAAGUGGUUUUGGAGAUGAUUGGAUUUUACAGGUGAAUCUGCAGGAUUUAUCAUUUUGUGUGGACCGGUCAGACCGGGCUCUGGUAGCCGGUCAGACCGGCGCAGCCCGCGGUCUG